rnacentral:rRNA from 1 species
AACGAACGCUGGCGGCAGGCCUAACACAUGCAAGUCGUACGCACCUUCCGGGGUGAGUGGCAGAUGGGGGUGUCACGCGUGGGAAUCUUCCCUUCUCUACGGGAUACCUCCGGGAAACGGGAAUUAAUACCGUAUACGUCCUGAGGGCGAAAGAUAUAUCGGGGGAGGAUGAGCGCGCGUUGGAUUAGCUAGUUGGUGGGGUAAAGGCCUACCACGGCGACGAUCCAUAGCUGGUCAAAGAGGAAGGUCAGCCACAUUGGGACUGAGACACGGCCCGAACUCCUACGCGAGGGAGGAGUGCGGAAUCUAGGACUAUGGGGGCAGGGAUGAACGAGCCAGGCCGGGUGAGUGAUGAAGGCGGUAGGGAAGUAAAGCUCUUUCAGAGGGGACGAUAAUGACGGUACCCACAGAAGAAGCCCCGGCUAACUUCGUG